rnacentral:rRNA from 1 species
UUUAUGGAGAGUUUGAUCCUGGCUCAGGAUGAACGCUGGCGGCGUGCCUAAUACAUGCAAGUCGAGCGAACAGACGAGGAGCUUGCUCCUCUGACGUUAGCGGCGGACGGGUGAGUAACACGUGGAUAACCUAAGUAAC